GCUGUUGCCGCAGCUCCUGUGGAGUUUUGCUGCUCAUUGCAAAGUCACAAGAGGAGGGGAGGAGAGAGAGAGUUUGUGGUUGGGGAGGGGGACUCUCCGGACAAAUUGGGAUCCUGACGUCAUGGCUGACAACAUUAACCCCUGCUGGCUUGCAGAGGGGAUGGAGGAGGUUUUUUGGUUGUGCUUUGCUGUUUUGCUUUUAUUUUUUUUCCCCCAGGGAGAUGGGAGCAGGGAAGAUGGUGGGAAAGGUGAUGGCAUUUUGGCAAGCAGGGGGAUGCACCUGGACAAGAGUGGCUCGGCUGAAAAGGAGAUCCAGCAGCACUUUGAAUGCAGAGCAGAAGCCAUGGCUCAAGGAGGAAACAUCCAAGCUCUUGUUCCAGGACUGUCCUGGAUGCCAUUUGCUCUGUGCCUGCCCAGCAGCUCAGAGCCCUCUGAGCAGGUAAGUCUCCCCUCCCCUGGUGCUGGCUUACACCUGAUGUGGGGAUGGUCUCCAAAGCCCUGUGGGCCAAGAGGGCAGAGCAGAUGUGUCACUGCAGCUGGAUGGGACAAGGUCCAAAAUGCCCCUGAAGAGGCCCAGGGCAGUGCCCAGUGGCCACUGGGCAGCACCUCUGUCCUGCCUUUCCCUAUGAGGAGGUCUGCCCCAGCCCCAGCUGGAAGAAUCCUUGGCUCUGGGGUUCCUAAUGCUCCUUUUCCUCACGCUUGGCUUGGCUCUACAUGGUUUCCUCAUCAGAGGCACGCCAUAGAUCAUACACUCCCAAUCUCCUUCUCCCAAACAGAGGAGCAGAGAGUGACCCUUUUAAAGAGCUUCCUCUUUGCAUGCCAGACUGAACUGUUGCAAUGCAGAGACACUAAACCAAGGAAGAGCUGGGCUGUGUGGUGUCCUGUCCUGGUGACACUGCAGGAAGGUCCUGGGGGCAGCAAACGUGGGGUCUGUGGGGAAAAGGAAGGCUCAGGGAAGGUUUUGCAUGUACAGUGAUGCUGUGCUAGAACAGGAGGGGAAAAGACCUCACCUGCUGCUAAGGAUGGUGGAUAAUAUUCUCUGCUUGGUUUAGAGCCUGGACCACCCCUGCUCCUCCAGACUUCCAUGACUAAAGCCCCGGAGUGCUCUCCAGUGUUUUCUCAAAGACCAAAGCAGGUCAGUGGCACUUGUCACAUGCCAGGGAAUGUGUCUGCCCAUGUGGAGUCAGGAGUCAGGAUGCAGCAUGCUACCGAGAAAUUUGCACUGCAGACCACUCUCUGUGGCCUCCCAGGCUGCAGUUAGUGCAGAGACUCCACCAGGACAUCCAGCUUGGCUGGUGAUACUUCACUGCAUCGUGAAGCCCAAAGCAACUGCUGCCUGUCUGGGCUGUCCGUGCUGGCCCAGCACUGUGUCCUCAGGAUGUUCCUUGUCUUCAACAGGCCCCAUGUCAACCCCCCCAGAACCUUAUGGCUCCCUCAUUCCUGUGGUCCCCUCAUUCCUGUGGCUCCCUGAUUCCUGUGGCUGAAAGAGCCUAAAGAGCUCCCCUUUUCCUAAGCAGCUGUGGGGAGACGGGCCAAAACAACAGGGUUUCCCCAUGAGCCUAUUGAAGAGGAGGAAGCAGCCCAGUAGAUCAGGGCUGUGCUUGGUCAGGCUCAACCUCAGCUUGAAAAGCAACUGGUCCCACCUUUCCUACAGGCCAGUUUGUCUCCAGUGCCUCAGCUGGUGUGCCUGGGUCUGCAGUGCAGGGCACAGCCAGCCUUGGCAGGGUCCUGCAAGAUCUCCCCAUGUGCACAGGUAGCACUGGGAGCCCUGAGCCUGGGAGGAGCUGGUGGUGCCUCUCAGGUGCCUGCUGCUGUACAGGUACAGUAUUUACCUCCCUGCUGCUGCCAGCACACUGGUCUCCUGACAGCAGUGAGUUUCUGAAGCAUUUAUUCUGAAUUAAGCUGCUGGGUACCAGGGAGGAGCUCUUGGAGAGAUGAGAAGAAGCAUUUGCCUCUGGGCACCGGCGGCCCCAUUUAGCCCCUCCUGGUCCCUUCCUUUUCUGGCCCCUCGGCACUGCUCUCUCCCACCAGCUAUGAUUGCAUGUUACUGGCAGAAAAGGUAAGUGGGAAGCAAAUGUCAGAGGCAUACAUGAAGAGGAAAAAUUAUGCUCACAAAUGGUGACAUUUGUGCUUGCAAGUUCACCCAGUCGGGAGCAGAAACCGUGUCACAUGAAUUAUCUGACCACUCAGCCACAACGGGACACUCUGGAGAGCCGAUUGCUUGGCAGUAAAUGCAGUCAAAGAAGCUGUUGUGUGCUCCUGAAUAAUCUACCUGAAGCCAUGUUCUUGAAUAAAGGACUGCUUUGGAAUUA